CAACUAAACCCAAAAUCACCCCCAUGACAUGCAGCACAUGGUUUAACCCAAUAAGGUGGCUUCAGGAUUUAAGGGGUCUCAGGCAGCUCACAGGUGUUCCCUUUGUGCCGUUUAGGAGAGUCUGCACCUCCAGUCACUUCUGCAAACACUGUGGCGAAGCACUUCAUGGAGGAUUCUCUCCCUGAUGGCACCUCUUCUCGUCGCUGUCUUUAACCUUUCUGAUGCUUGACUGGCUCGCAGAUAAAACCAGAGGGGGACAUGGUUUUACACUGUAAAUGAUGAGCUCAGCUUCAAAAAGGACUCCAAGCCCUGAAGACGGUUGGUGUAAAAUGGAUGAAGAGACGAGAAAGAUUUCUACUACAGUGAAAUGCAGACUCCAGCGUGGUUCACAGAACAGCAGCUGCAGCGCUGCAGAGGAGCUCCUGAAGACCAAACAUGGGAGUUUGCUCUGAGGAUGCUGGAACUUCACUGGAAACUUCUGCAUUUGUCAAAUGGCGUCCAUGGUGCAGGCGAUGGACUAGCACAUCAAGGUGGCUUAUAGCAGGACAAGGCCCCAGUGAUGCUUUUACAACACCUACAUAUGACUCUACAGGUGCACUGGCUCUCAAGUGUCCACAGCCAGCAGGCUAUUGUCUGCACUGCAUGUCAGACUUCCCCAGAAGACUGGGUCAGUGCGUCUUCCAUUUACAAAGGAGCAGAGAUGGGAGCUUCCUGAACCUCCCACACAGGAACCGCCGUGUUAUCAUUCAGGGUGCCGUCAUGGGGUUUUAUCAGAUGAUCGCAUGUUACAUACAAGGUGGUUUCUGGUAUCGGUAACUUGAAGUACCUUCCUCAGCCAGGAGACGAGGUUUGAAGCUCGAAGUUUAGCACUUAGUACUCUCCAACUACUCUGUGGUUGGUUUCAGGCACUUACCGAGUCCUCUUAGGUUAGGAUUAGGCUCUUAUUCCUCUUUGGUUAGGAUAUAUUUUAGCACUACAAAUCUCUCUAGGUUGAGUUAGUCUAGACUCUUCCUUUAUUCAACAUAGGCACUUACCGAGUCCUCUUUGAUUAGGAUUAGGCUCUUAUUCCUCUUUGGUUAGGAUUUAGGCACUUAACCAGAUCCUUAGGAUUUGGCUCUCCAGACCCCUCCUUGGCUGGCAUGAGGAACUCCAGAUUCCUCCAUGGUUGGGUUUGUUACUCUGCUGCUACAAGACACUUUGUGUGUAACUGAAAUACCAGCGGCUUUAAAACUGCUUUGACUCUCCAGAAAGGGACCAUGCUAGAAAUUCCAGACCUGUCUCAAAGCUUGUUGGAAUCAUUUGUGGCCAUGUUGCUGAUGAAUGGACUGUCCAUGUUUUGACUAAUAAAUAAUUUUACACCU